CUGGCUGCCUCACCUAUGUCUUACUGGUUUCCUUCACCCUGGACGCACUUUUAAGCCCUCCUACCCCGGGCAGAGACUCAAGAUGGAGCAGCCAAUCUCCUGGGUUGAUGUUAAAAUCUUCCACUGUUGCUGGGGAGGCGGACAUCCUUUCCCUGCAUCUCCGUACCCUAAGGUCUGUUGCUCUCUGAUAGCUCCACCAUGAUGUGGACUGACAUUGGCAUGGUUUUUGUUUAUGUAAUGACUUUUCCAAGACAUUCAUGUGAUUUAUUCAAAAAGUUUGCCCAUGUGCCAUUUUUCUUUCCUUAUCACCUACUUUAUUCUAGCUGAGUGGUCUUGACAGUAUAAUGGGUUUUGUCACAAGUCCAAAAAAUGACCUCUUAGUUUCUUAAAUGAUAAAUGUACAGUUCUUUUUAUUGACUCUUCCAGUGUCCAGGCAAAUAGGAGCUGCGGACACAUCUACAAGGGCUGGACCAAAGAUCAAAGCACAGUGGCUCUUUCAAGAGUGCUGUUUUUACUUCCAAUCAAGGAGUCAUUCUGGAUAGAAGUCUUCCUUAUCCCAUCGCCUCUGGUGAUGAUUAG
rnacentral:lncRNA from 10 species